rnacentral:lncRNA from 1 species
UUAGACGUGCAGAUGCGAUUAAAUCUUGCGCCCGUGUUGUACUCCGAACCGAGGCUGCGUUGAACCUGUCUAAAUUGAGAAGCCGGACCUUCAGUCGCGUGUCAGCGUCGCUCACAGCGAGAGUGCGUGCUGCUUUUGUUUCUCUUCGCUCUCCAGCGAAUCGCGUCUGGCCAGCUCUAUUGGCGGAUGGCCUUGACCUUCGAAGAGAUAUGAAGGGAAAAAGAUGAGAAGAAUGAGGAACCGGUAACUUGCAAGGUGGCUCUCCUUAGCUGCGGCUGCAAGCCGUGCAUCGCCGUUGCGAUCGGUAUCUCUCCGCAUUACUCGGCAUGUGGUGCUGAUAAACAGCUCGUCGGACGAACAGCCAGCCUGGCAUGCGGCGUCCUGAUGAUGGCCGUAGAGCUAUAGCUGGGCGGUGUUCGACGCGACGCAAACCAAACUCUUUCUAUAUUUGCGGUGAAGAAUGCGACUUCGUGGUUGCUCGGGCAGCGGUAAUAUAAUAAACGGAAGAACUGUCGGAU